AUUGAACGCUGGCGGCAGGCCUAACACAUGCAAGUCGCACGAGUGGCGGACGGGUGAGUAAUGUCUGGGAAACUGCCUGAGGGAUGGGGAUAACUACUGGACACGGUAGCUAAUACCGCAUACCAUCAGAUGUGCCCAGAUGGGAUUAGCUAGUUGGUGGGGUAACGGCGCACCACGGCGACGAUCCCUAGCUGGUCUGAGAGGAUGACCAGCCACACUGGAACGGAGACACGGUCCAGACUCCUAGGGUAGGCAGCAGUGGGGAAUAUUGCACAAUGGGCGCAAGCCUGAUGCAGCCAUGCCGCGUGUAUGAAGAAGGCCUUCGGGUUGUAAAGUACUUGCAGCGGGGAGGCGUUACCAGCAGAAGAAGCACCGGCGAACUCCGUGCCAGCAGCAGCGGUAAUAC
rnacentral:rRNA from 1 species